rnacentral:rRNA from 1 species
UACGGAAGGCAGCAGUGGGGAAUAUUGCACAAUGGGCGAAAGCCUGAUGCAGCUAUGCCGCGUGUAUGAAGAAGGCCUUAGGGUUGUAAAGUACUUUCAUCGGGGAGGAAAAACAAAACUAAUAAUUUUAUUUCUUGACGUUACCCGAAAAAGAAGCACCGGCUAACUCCGUGCCAGCAGCCGCGGUAAUACGGAGGGUGCUAGCGUUAAUCAGAAUUACUGGGCGUAAAGAGCACGUAGGUGGUUUUUUUAAGUCAGAUGUGAAAUCCCUGGGCUUAACCUGGAACUGCAUUUUGAAACUGAAAUACUAGAGUAUCGUAGAGGGAGGUAGAAUUCUAGGUGUAGCGGUGAAAUGCGUAGAUAUCUGGAGGAAUACCUGUGGCGAAAGCGGCCUCCUAAACGAAUACUGACACUGAGGUGCGAAAGCGCGGGGAGCAAACAGGGAUUAGAUACC